UAUUAGAGCAAGGGACUUGAUCAAAAUGC
rnacentral:piRNA from 1 species